CUAUCUCGUUCGCCUGGUUAAUUCAGAGCAAUCACAGUGGCGGCACCGCCGCUAGCCCGAUCCAUUUUGCUGCCGCACGCCUAGCUCUUGCAGUCGCCUGUAUAGCAUCGCCCUCCUCUCUAUUGCAUGGCGCCAUCUCCUCAUCCAUCCUCCCGCCCUCCGUUUUCUCCGAUAUGUUAAUGAAUGUAUUGGGAAUUGGGAUCAAUCUCGCCACAAGAAAGACGGGCGCGGGCGCUGCAUUCCGGCGUUGUAGGCCUCGGAGUCCGGUGUAGAUCUCGUUGCCGGAAUCAUAUGCGCACUCGUAAUAUUCACUGUGGAAAGCCGAAGGCGGAUCUUGGAAAGAUAACAGAGUGCCCUGAGAGAUGCUUGCGUAAACGACUUGAUAAAUGACGGGAGUUGGCUCUGCUCCGGCGACUCACCGGCCGCCCUCUCUGGCGCAGUGCCGCCCCCUCCCUGUCGCCACACUAGUCAAUUAGGGGAUUAGGGUUCAUAUCGGUGGAAUCAAAGAGUAUAUUUACGAGAAAAAUAUUAACCAAU